CCUACAGGAGGCUGCAGUCGAGGAUCAUUCGCAAUGCGCGAAAGCGUGACGGUGCGACGCCGCGUGCAGGAUGAAGGCCUUCGGGUCGUAAACUGCUGUCAUGAGGGAACAAUGUCCGGGAUAUUAACACUGUCUCGGGGUGAUAGUACCUCAAGAGGACGCCACGGCUAACUCUGUGCCCGCAGCCGCGGUAAUACAGAGGCGGCAAGCGUUGGUCGGAUUUACUGGGCGUAAAGGGUGCGUAGGCGGUUCUGUGUGUCGGAUGUGAAAUCUCACAGCUCAACUGUGGAAUUGCAUGUGAAACUACAGGGCUGGAGUACAGGAGAGGAGAGCGGAAGUCUUGGUGUAGCGGUGAAAUGCGUAGAUAUCAAGAGGAACACCGGUGGCGAAGGCGGCUCUCUGGACUGAUACUGACGCUGAGGCACGAAAGCUGGGGGAGCAAACA
rnacentral:rRNA from 1 species